rnacentral:rRNA from 1 species
AACGUAGGAGGCGAGCGUUAUCCGGAUUUACUGGGCGUAAAGCGUGUGCAGGUGGUUUGGUUAGUUGGAUGUGAAAGCUCCUGGCUUAACUGGGAGAGGUCGUUCAAUACUGCCAGACUUGAGAGUGAGAGAGGGAGGUGGAAUUCCGGGUGUAGUGGUGAAAUGCGUAGAUAUCCGGAGGAACACCAGUGGCGAAAGCGGCCUCCUGGCUCAUUUCUGACACUCAUACACGAAAGCUAGGGUAGCAAACGGG